UGUACGUCUAAAAAUCCCAGUCUGCAGCAUUGUGGAAACACAACCUUUGCAUGAAGAGGGGGAACUGUCACCGGGUCAGUUUGACAUGUAAAUGGUCGCGCCAGGUCGGCAAAAUGAGCACGCCCAAACAACAACGAGCAGUUUGACGAGGACAGCCUGGCAAAGGGCAAGAGACACUCAAGAUGGAUAUUUUACCGGAACUGCAUACGGAGGUCUACUCAUACAAUGCAAAUUCAGUCUACUUGAAGGCUCCAUAGCAGAAGCGUCCAUGUCACGGGGCUGGAAACUGGAAGUAUCCUGAGCUAAUUCUGCUACCACCAUCAUCUAUUGCAACAAGUGAUGGCUCCCACUGAUUGGCGCCGGAAACCUGCGUCCUUUUCAGGACGGACGAUGACAGCGAUGUCAAGAUUUGAAACAUGGAAGAAGGAUACGAAAGGAGAAGUCUACUAGAAGAUUGAAGACCCCCUACAAUAACUGUUACACCAUUGCUAAACAAUCCUCUGAUUUAUACUAUAACAGAAAAUCUGCUGUUGAUGAGCUUGCCAAUUUUUUUUUAUUGUCUCACAAA